AGGUUGGUAUUCCAGCAUGUCGGGCUUGCCAAGGAAUAAGGACAUUGAUGGCGUUUUCUCUUCUAGAGGACUACAAAGCCCCUUCCAGCAUGAUGAAAGCUUCUUGUAUCAGGUAUAUGUGUGCCUGGUGCCUACAGAGUCCAGAAGAGGACUGGAAUUGGAGUUGAAAAUGGACUUAUUAAUGAAGGGAUGUUGAAGUUUAUCAAAUACCCUUUUCUGUAUCUUUCAAGAUGAUGAUGAUGAAUCAAACUCAUGUUUUGAGGCUUGCAACCUUAACUGUUUCUUUUGAAAUCAACUAAUAAAGAAAGGAUUAAAUAAAUCACCAAGCAUCCAUGCCAUGAAAAACUGGAUUUUUGAAAGAAUGAAGCAACUCCAUGUGUGCUGACUUGGAAUGUCCACUAACCUGCAGCUGGAAACAGCAGCAGUCAUCCAGACUGUGAAGCACGGGGUAGUACCAUCGUCUACAGAAGGUUGCUUUUGAUGGAGAUGCUUUGGCGCAGCAGUAGAAACCCCAACUAAGAUCGUGCUUAUGUCAGAUUGGUUUCGUGAUAGAAUCGGAUCUGGACAGCAGUUUCCUUCAAUAAACGUCAGUGGAGCACCUUCUGGGUCCCUGGCAUGGAUGGACAGCAUCCCAAGAGGACUUUAGGUUGCCAUAUGAUUUGUUUCUCAACCAGCAUAUGAACUUUCCCAAGAUGAGGCAGGCCUUUUCAGUGUUACGCCCAAAUCCCAAAUCUAGGUGCAGAGUGCACAGCCAAAUCUCACCAAGCCUUCGUCUUCCUGAUAGAACAUGCUCGAUUUUAGCUGACUUCAUUCAGAAGUAGGAAUCAGAUACUAGUUGGCACAGCAGAAAAAAAAAAAAAAAAAAAAAAACCCAAAUCACCCUCUGGCAAGGAAGGCGUUAUGCAACUGCCUUAGAAGUAAAUUUACCUUCUUAAUUAUGGAUGCCUGUGGCUAUAAUUACAGAUAAGUAGCAUUUCCCACGUCUAAUCUUCUUCCUGCUUCCUUCUCUGAGCCCAUCGGGGUAACUCUCCUGGGCCUUCUAUUUAAUUCUCAGAGGUAGUGAGACAGAUUGAACGAACUUGCCUGACCGGAAGCUCAAAGGCAUCAGAGGUGGGGAGGGACAACACCGCUGAAGAAUCACCAUGUGGAACAGGGAAGCUUUGCUGACCUGCAGCGUCAGACUUCCAGACUGUCUCAACGUAGAGUGGCUUCCUGAGUCCUCCCGCCCUUCCUGGGGUUGUUCUGCAUUCAAUGGGUCAUGAGGCAGGCAUGCAAAACUUAUAUGAGCCGUGCCAGGCAGGUAUCACCCUGGAGUUCCAGAACAGGUGAAUAAACUUUCUCAGGCCUAAAUUAUAAA
rnacentral:lncRNA from 1 species